rnacentral:rRNA from 1 species
AGAGUUUGAUCCUGGCUCAGGAUAAACGCUGGCGGCGUGCCUAAUGCAUGCAAGUCGAACGGGAGACGGGCUUCGGCCUGUCUUGAGUGGCGGACGGGUGAGGAACACGUACGAGACCUGCCCUUGGAUGGGGAAUAAGCCCUCGAAAGGGGGUCUAAUGCCGCAUACGGUCCUACGCGUAGAGGCGUGGGAGGAAAGCCCGCGAGGGUGUCCGAGGAGGGGCGUGCGGCCGAUUAGCUAGUUGGUGGGGUAAAGGCCUACCAAGGCGACGAUCGGUAGCUGGUCUGAGAGGAUGGUCAGCCACACUGGGACUGAGAUACGGCCCAGACUCCUACGGGAGGCAGCAGCAGGGAAUCUUGCGCAAUGGGCGAAAGCCUGACGCAGCAACGCCGCGUGGGUGAUGAAGGCUCUCGGGUCGUAAAGCCCUUUUCUGCGGGACGAUGAUGACGGUACCGCAGGAAGAAGCCACGGCUAACUACGUGCCAGCAGCCGCGGUAAUACGUAGGUGGCAAGCGUUGUCCGGAGUUAUUGGGCGUAAAGCGCGCGCAGGCGGUUCGGGAAGUCCAUGGUGAAAGCGCCCGGCUCAACUGGGCGAGUGCCGUGGGGACUAUCGGACUGGAGGGGAGCAGAGGCGAGUGGAAUUCCGGGUGUAGUGGUGAAAUGCGUAGAGAUCCGGAGGAACACCAGUGGCGAAGGCGGCUCGCUGGGCUCAACCUGACGCUGAGGCGCGAAAGCGUGGGGAGCGAACCGGAUUAGAUACCCCCGUAGUCC